AUUGAACGCUGGCGGCGUGCUUAACACAUGCAAGUCGAUCGGUAACAGGUGUAGCAAUACAUGCUGACGAGAGGCGGACGGGUGAGUAAUGCUUGGGAAUCUGCCUAUUAGUGGGGGACAACCCGGGGAAACUCGGGCUAAUACCGCAUACGCUCUACGGAGGAAAGCCGGGGACCGCAAGGCCUGGCGCUAAUAGAUGAGCCCAAGUCGGAUUAGCUAGNGGUAGGGUAACGGCCUACCAAGGCGACAAUCCGUAGCUGGUCUGAGAGGACGACCAGCCACACCGGAACUGAGACACGGUCCGGACUCCUACGGGAGGCAGCAGUGGGGAAUCUUGCGCAAUGGGCGAAAGCCUGACGCAGCGACGCCGCGUGAGGGAUGACGGCCUGGU
rnacentral:rRNA from 1 species